rnacentral:rRNA from 1 species
CUUGCUUUCUUUGCUGGCGACCGGCGCACGGGUGAGUAACACGUAUCCAACCUGCCCUUUACUCGGGGAUAGCCUUUCGAAAGAAAGAUUAAUACCCGAUAGCAUAAUGAUUCCGCAUGGUUUCAUUAUUAAAGGAUUCCGGUAAAGGAUGGGGAUGCGUUCCAUUAGGUCGUUGGUGGGGUAACGGCCCACCAAGCCUUCGAUGGAUAGGGGUUCUGAGAGGAAGGUCCCCCACAUUGGAACUGAGACACGGUCCAA